AGAAGUUACACCACUUAAUGCACCUACCAGUCGCCCCACAAUCUCACCGACAUUGGAUGUUGAAACACAACUGACCGUGGAUCUCGGAGCCUGGUUGAAGCCACUUGUUCAGCAUGGCUACUAGAACAUUAAAAAUUGCACCUGUGGCCUGGACUGUAAUUCUAUUGGACAGCACCGCCCUGGCCUCGACGUGAACCAGACGAAUCUGCUCUUCAUCAGAACAAACUCAAGCGCCCCCUCUGCCUCUAGAAAGCAGCAGCCCAGGCACCACGCCCUUCCUGUCCUCCUUCCGAGUGAACCAGCGGGAAGCGGGCUCUUGGCCUCCGAACCUCGCCAAUGGCACGAAUGACCUCCGGGCUGCCAGGUCCGUGACUCGCCCAGGCCGAAAACCGACUUCUGCGCAUGGGCCACGAAGUUUCAAUCGCACUGUACGUGCGCGCCCGCACGUGGUAUUUUGUGGAAGAGCCACACUCAAGGGGCCAAAGAGCCGCAUGUGGCUCGCGAGCCGCAGUUUGCCGACCACUGAUCUGGCCUAUCCACUCGCUCUCUGAGGCACAUCCAGCUCUGACCACUCCCUCCGCCGGUCCCAGCACCCUCAGCCCUUGCCACAUGUCUCCUCUGGUCUCCCUGCUCCCAUCCCUAUCCCUCCACCAGGGAGCCACAAACUCCUCGGAAAGGGCCGACAGGGAAUAGGUGGGGCUCUGCGGGCCAGAUGGUCUCUGUCGUAACUACUCAACUUGGCUUCCAGCUCAAAAGCAGCUCCGACGACAGGUGAGUGAGGAGCGCCCGAUCCAUCAAACAGGA